rnacentral:rRNA from 1 species
CCUACGGGGGGCAGCAGUGGGGAAUAUUGGACAAUGGGCGAAAGCCUGAUCCAGCCAUGCCGCGUGUGUGAAGAAGGCCUUCGGGUUGUAAAGCACUUUCAGUGGGGAAGAAAGCCUUGGGGCUAAUACCCUCGAGGAAGGACAUCACCCACAGAAGAAGCACCGGCUAACUCCGUGCCAGCAGCCGCGGUAAUACGGAGGGUGCGAGCGUUAAUCGGAAUUACUGGGCGUAAAGCGCGCGUAGGCGGUCUGAUAAGCCGGUUGUGAAAGCCCCGGGCUCAACCUGGGAACGGCAUCCGGAACUGUCAGGCUAGAGUGCAGGAGAGGAAGGUAGAAUUCGCGGUGUAGCGGUGAAAUGCGUAGAGAUCGGGAGGAAUACCAGUGGCGAAGGCGGCCUUCUGGACUGACACUGACGCUGAGGUGCGAAAGCGUGGGUAGCAAACAGGAUUAGAUACCCCAGUAGUC